rnacentral:lncRNA from 1 species
UCUCAAGAAAAUGCCAGCUCCUGUGAAGUGCAAGCACGCUUGAAAACAUGCCAAUCUUUUGGAUGGUGACAACCAUAUCACUUAGUGUUUGGAACUAUGCUCUCUUUUAACUUCAUCUUGAAUAAAUCUUUAUAUGUCGACUAAUGUGUUUCACAGGGCCUAACAUCGAUCAAAGUUUAAUAAAUGGGAACCAAUAACAUCCUUGAUCUUGCUC